AGAGUUUGAUCAUGCCUCAGAUUGAACGCUGGCGGCAGGCCUAACACAUGCAAGUCCAGCGGUAGAGAGAAGCUUGCUUCUCUUGAGAGCGGCGGACGGGUGAGUAAUGCCUAGGAAUCUGCCUGGUAGUGGGGGAUAACGUUCGGAAACGGACGCUAAUACCGCAUACGUCCUACGGGAGAAAGCAGGGGACCUUCGGGCCUUGCGCUAUCAGAUGAGCCUAGGUCGGAUUAGCUAGUUGGUGGGGUAAUGGCUCACCAAGGCGACGAUCCGUAACUGGUCUGAGAGGAUGAUCAGUCACACUGGAACUGAGACACGGUCCAGACUCCUACGGGAGGCAGCAGUGGGGAAUAUUGGACAAUGGGCGAAAGCCUGAUCCAGCCAUGCCGCGUGUGUGAAGAAGGUCUUCGGAUUGUAAAGCACUUUAAGUUGGGAGGAAGGGCAGUAAAUUAAUACUUUGCUGUUUUGACGUUACCGACAGAAUAAGCACCGGCUAACUCUGUGCCAGCAGCCGCGGUAAUACAGAGGGUGCAAGCGUUAAUCGGAAUUACUGGGCGUAAAGCGCGCGUAGGUGGUUAGUUAAGUUGGAUGUGAAAUCCCCGGGCUCAACCUGGGAACUGCAUUCAAAACUGACUGACUAGAGUAUGGUAG
rnacentral:rRNA from 1 species